AUCAAAACUUGGAGCAAAGAGCAUGAUGGGUAGAAGAAGGAAGAUAAGAUGUGAUGCAUUAAGGACCCAAAGAAGGUGGUGUGAUAGAGUACUCAGGUGUCUGAGUGCAGCCAUUUCAUCAAGCUUCUUGUUGGAAGAAUGGGCACAGGAACCAGCUUCUUCAGUCGCCUUCAAAUGUGCCUCAGAUGAAAUAGAGAACAAAUCAGCAGGGGCAGUCCAGUCCGCUUGGAAAUUACCACAGCAGUUCUACCUAGAAGAAACCAAGAGGCUCUGCCCAGCCAGCCCAAGUCUGAGGAAGCAGCAAGAAGCCACCAGAAUAUCAUGAGAAGUUCUUUGAGUCUCUCAGAAAAGCAGACAGGGGCAAAGCAAUCGUCUCUGUUGGGUGACAGCAGACAGACUUGACUGCUCACUUGGUGGACAGAGCACAGAAGGGUCCUGUGUGUGGAGAACAUCAUGUAUGAAGCUUACAGAAUGAAGAAGGGUGUUAACAGGCCAUGAAGUGUACAGAGUUGCUGUGUCAAUAGGUGCCUGGUCCUGAAAGACCCAUGCUGAGAAGUUUGUAUCAAGGCACCUCUCAACUCUCAUGAAAGAAGCUUUUGUUCGCAGUAAACAAUGAUCGACACAGAGACAGACUCACAACUUACCAAGGUACUGAAAAGAAAAAGACUGCAGGAUGUUCUGUAGUAUGUGAGUGAAUAAAUU